rnacentral:lncRNA from 1 species
CAUACCAUACGAGUUAAGGUAUGGUAAGAAGCCAGCUCUUAGGCAUCUCAAGAUUUGGAGAUGUCCAAUUAUUGGAAUUCAGGGUUUAGUGCAUGCAUAUGUGUUUUAAAAAUUUUAUUUUCUAAAUACGACAGCAAAGAAUAAGAUUAAAAUACUUUUAAUCUGAAUUAUACAUGCAUGAAAAUAUAAAACCACAUGGAUCGCCUUAAGGGUGCGGAAAUUGAUGCAUGCUGAAAUUCAGAUUGUGAUCAAAUCACAUACCUGUUUCACAAUCAUUUUCUUCAAAUCU